CAGCCGCCGCGGUAAUACGAAGGGGGCUAGCGUUGUUCGGAUUUACUGGGCGUGUAGCGCACGUAGGCGGAUCGAUCAGUCAGGGGUGAAAUCCCAGAGCUCAACUCUGGAACUGCCUUUGAUACUGUUGAUCUGGAGUAUGGAAGAGGUGAGUGGAAUUCCGAGUGUAGAGGUGAAAUUCGUAGAUAUUUGGAGGAACACCAGUGGCGAAGGCGGCUCACUGGUCCAUUACUGACGCUGAGGUGCGAAAGCGUGGGGAGCAAACAGGAUUAGAUACCCGGGUAGUCCCUGUCUCUUAUAC
rnacentral:rRNA from 1 species